AUUGAACGCUGGCGGCAGGCCUAACACAUGCAAGUCGAGCGAGCGGCGGACGGGUGAGUAAUGUCUGGGAAACUGCCUGAUGGAGGGGGAUAACUACUGGAAACGGUAGCUAAUACCGCAUACCAUCGGAUGUGCCAGGAUGGGAUUAGCUAGUGGGUGGGGUAACGGCUCACCUAGGCGACGAUCCCUAUGUGGUCUGAGAGGAUGACCAGCCAACCUGGAAUGGAGACACGGUCCAGACUCCUACGUGAGGCAGCAGUGGGGAAUAUUGCACAAUGGGCGCAAGCCUGAUGCAGCCAUGCCGCGUGUGGUAAGGAGGCCUUCGUGUUGUAAAGCACUUUCAGCGGUGAGGCGUUACCCGCAGAAGAAGCACCGGCUAACUCCGUGCCAGCAGCCGCGGUAAUAC
rnacentral:rRNA from 1 species